CUGCUAAUGGCCUAUCAAGCG
rnacentral:misc_RNA from 1 species